GACGAACGCUGGCGGCGUGCUUAACACAUGCAAGUCGAACGGAAAGGCCCUGCUUUUGUGGGGUGCUCGAGUGGCGAACGGGUGAGUAACACGUGAGUAACCUGCCCUUGACUUUGGGAUAACUUCGGGAAACUGGGGCUAAUACCGGAUAGGAGCUCCUGCGGCAUGGUGGGGGUUGGAAAGUUUCGGCGGUUGGGGAUGGACUCGCGGCUUAUCAGCUUGUUGGGGGGGUAGUGGCUUACCAAGGCUUUGACGGGUAGCCGGCCUGAGAGGGUGACCGGCCACCAUGCUCCUGCGGUACGGCCCAGACUCCUACGGGAGGCAACAGUGGGGAAUAUUGCACAGUGGGCGGACGCCUGAUGCGGCGGCCCCGCGUGCGGGAUGACGGCCUUCGGGUUGUAAACCGCUUUCGCCUGUGACGAAGCGUGAGUGACGGUACUGGGUAAAGAAGCACCGGCUAACUACGUG
rnacentral:rRNA from 1 species